ACGAACUCUGGCGGCUUGCUUCACACAUGCAAGUCGAACGGAAAGGCCCUGCUUUUGUGGGGUGCUCGAGUGGCGAACGGGUGAGUAACACGUGAGUAACCUGCCCUUGACUUUGGGAUAACUUCAGGAAACUGGGGCUAAUACCGGAUAGGAGCUCCUGCUGCAUGGUGGGGGUUGGAAAGUUUCGGCGGUUGGGGAUGGACUCGCGGCUUAUCAGCUUGUUGGUGGGGUAGUGGCUUACCAAGGCUUUGACGGGUAGCCGGCCUGAGAGGGUGACCGGCCACAUUGGGACUGAGAUACGGCCCAGACUCCUACGGGAGGCAGCAGUGGGGAAUAUUGCACAAUGGGCGGAAGCCUGAUGCAGCAACGCCGCGUGCGGGAUGACGGCCUUCGGGUUGUAAACCGCUUUCGCCUGUGACGAAGCGUGAGUGACGGUAAUGGGUAAAGAAGCACCGGCUAACUACGUG
rnacentral:rRNA from 1 species